CACGUAAGGGGCAAGCGUUGUUCGGAAUUAUUGGGCGUAAAGGGCGCGUAGGCGGCUGAGAAAGCCUGGUGUGAAAGGCCACAGCUUAACUGUGGGAGUGCGCUGGGAACUGCUUGGCUAGAGUUCAGGAGGGGAAUCUGGAAUUCCUGGUGUAGGGGUGAAAUCUGUAGAUAUCAGGAAGAACACCUGUGGCGAAGGCGAGAUUCUGGCCAUGAACUGACGCUGAGGCGCGAAAGCGUGGGGAGCGAACAGGAUUAGAUACCCUGGUAGUCCACGCUGUAAACGAUGUGCACUAGGUGUCGGCUGUUGUAACGGUCGGUGCCGAAGCAAACGCGAUAAGUGCACCGCCUGGGGAGUAUGCUCGCAAGGGUGAA
rnacentral:rRNA from 1 species